rnacentral:rRNA from 1 species
CCUACGGGGGGCAGCAGUGGGGGAUAUUGGACAAUGGGGGGAACCCUGAUCCAGCGACGCCGCGUGAGUGAAGAAGUAUUUCGGUAUGUAAAGCUCUGUCAGCAGGGAAGAAAGAAAUGACGGUACCUGACCAAGAAGCCCAGGCGAACUACGUGCCAGCAGCCGCGGGAAUACGUAGGGGGCAAGCGUUAUCCGGAAUUACUGGGUGUAAAGGGAGCGUAGACGGUUAAGUAAGUCUGGAGGGAAGGGCCGGGGCCCAACCCCGGGACUGCUCUGGAAACGAGUGAACUUGAGUGCAGGAGAGGUAAGCGGAAUUCCUAGUGUAGCGGUGAAAUGCGUAGAUAUUAGGAGGAACACCAGUGGCGAAGGCGGCUUACUGGACUGUAACUGACGUUGAGGCUCGAAAGCGUGGGGAGCGAACAGGAUUAGAUACCCUUGUAGUC